CUUCCUUCCUUCGCCUACAACUCCCAGAAUUCCCAGCCAGUUUACCUGCUCUUAGGAUCCCUGGGAGUUGAAGGCCAAAACACAGGUUGAGAACCACUGCGAGAGCCCGUGUGGCUCGUGUCUGAAACCCUUUGCCAGGCUUUUUGCUACUCAGGCCUUAGUGAAUCCUACCGAUCUUGCCAGAAGGCCAUCCUAUCCAAGGUAGGCUUAAUCAUCGUCCUGCCCUUGAGUGACAUAAGUCUCCUGUCACUGUGUUGUAUUUGGCCGAACCCCUUUAGGCAGAAAGGACUGGAUAUUCCUAUUCCCAUUCCUUUGGGAUCAUAGGCACCUAUUCUCCUAUUCCUGCCAGAUACUAUCUAAAGCGAUCACAGACAUUAGGAGGUUUUUAGCAGUAUGCUCUGCUAAAUUUCUCUUCCAAAAUACGACUUCGAACGACCUCUGCUGUUGUUUUUGAGGCCACUUUUCCCUCAGAAAGAGCUUUUUCCCUCAGUUCUUUUCGCAAAAUGGCGCCCCCUGGUGACUGCAAGCUCUCUUUGUAGUCAAAAUGGCUUCUUCUGAGGUAACCUUUCCUUUGUAGCUCUACUCUUUCUGAGGGGCUUGAGUAUGUAAAAUGGCACUUUUAAGCUUUAUUUUGAAAGCUGGCAAGAUCCUAAAACAGCACUUUAUCUUCUAAAGGUCGGAAAAUGUACUGUACUUUUAUCUUUGAGAGCAGGGUAGACAGCACUCCCGCUCCUCAAGGAUGGAAGAAUGAAAAUACUACGUGUUCUGUCCCCAGCACUUGUUAUUUGGACGGCGCCUGUAAAGCAGGGAACAGAUCAAAUGCUACACAUUUGAGCUUCCUGGGUGCCUGGAAUGCAUCAUAUCUGAUAGAGGCCUUCAAUUUAUAUCCAACUUUUGGAAGAGCUUCCUGAGACUAAUGGGCACAGAAAGGGCUCUUAGUACAGCGUUUCACCUGGAGACGGAUGGCACAGCUGAGAUUUUACAACAAUUUUAAAGAUGUUAUAGUACUUAUCAACAAGACCAGUGGAGUUCAUCUGUGGAUUUUGCCGUGUUUGCUUAUACAGUAGAGUUUCACUUAUCCAACACUCGCUUAUCCAAUGUUCUGGAUUAUCCAAUGCAUUUUUGUAGUCAAUGUUUUCAAUAUAUCAUGAUAUUUUGGUGCUAAAUUCACAAAUCCAGUAAUUACUACAUAGCAUUACUGCGUAUUGAACUACUUUUUCUGUCAAAUUUGUUGUAUAACAUGAUGUUUGGGUGCUUAAUUUGUAAAAUCAUAACCUAAUUUGAUGUUUAAUAGGCUUUUCCUUAAUCCCUCCUUAUUAUCCAACAUAUUCGCUUAUCCACCGUUCUGCCGGCCCGUUUAUGUUGGAUAAGUGAGACUCUACUUAAUAAUUCUAAACACUCAUCCACAGGGGUCUCCCCAUUUAAGACCGUCUGAGGGCGAGACUUCCCUCCUUUCCCUGAGUAGGCAAAACAUAAUUCGGAGUGGGAGACACCUCAGAAAUGGGGAGAGAAAAUUGCAGCGGCUUGGCCAAUUAUACAAGCUACUCUGGCAUCUGCCAUGAAGGAUUACAAAAAGUUUGCAGACAAAACUUUUUGGGCUCUAAAACCCAACAACAGGGUGGGAGAGUUAGUAUACCUGUCAACAAAGUAUCUGAAAUCCACUUAGCCCUCCCGGAAGUUAGCCCCCUUUUUGUUGGUCUCUUUCCUGUCUCUGGAAUCAUAAACCUGUUAGCUGUUCGAUUGCAUUUACCGCUAACUUGGUGAAAGAUCCAUCCUGUUUUGCGUGUUAGUCUCAUCAAACGGGCUUGAAUGGUUUUCCGUUGGAGUAAAGCUGACUCCGAACCUAUCCCCAUCAUGGUGGGGGCUCAUACAUAUUUUGAAAUUAAGACUAUUUUAGACUCUAAAUGUUCUAGAGGACAUUUGUACUAUUUAGUACAAUAGAAGUCACAGACGUUACAUCCUGAAUGGGUAGCUACUGAACAUGUGCAAAUCCCCUGCUUUAAAAAGCUGUUUCAUCAAACCUAUCCCUUUAAGCAGGGAAAUGUGUCCUCUUUUCUCCUACUUCCUGUGGAACGACCUGCCAGUAGAGCUCCGACAAUAGACACAAGUGAAGACCUAUCGUUUCAGGCAGGCCUACUUAGUUCUAAUGAUGAAUUUUAAAAUUCAACUCUAUCUCUAACUUGUGUGUACUUGAAUAUGUAUCUUAUGGAAAUAUGUUUAAAUAUGUGUAUUUUGCUGAAUGUUUUAAAAUGAUUACGUAUUUUGAUUAUGUGUUUUAACAAUGCUGUAUCCCACCUCGAGCUGUGAGGAGAGGUAUGUAAUAAAAUUACUAUUAUUAUUUGCUGCCACGGCUCCACUGGCUGCCGAUCUGUUUCCAGACAAAAUUCAAAUGUUAUAGCCUAUAAAGACCUAAAUGGCUCAGGUCCAGGCUAUUUGACUCCUUGUCCAAACCUACCUGGGCGCUAGAAUCCUCAAGAGAAGCCCUUGUCUCACUCCCACCACUAUCACAAGCAUGGUUGGUGGAUGUAAAAUGACCACUGCCUAGAAUUCAUCAAAUGUGGCAACUCCACCCAAGUGCCAAUUGUAUUUUUGGCUGGCCCCUAUAUGGAUAUGGAAUGAGCUUACUUUCUACGCCUUCAGAGGAAGAUCUGAAACACUGGAUAAUUUUUAGAACUUGUAAAUGGAUUUGGUUAACUACAAGCAUAAUGGAGCUUUACCCAGAGACGACACAAUUCCCAAAUUCUCCUCCAUGAUUUGCUGAUGCAAGGCUUUUUGGCUCGGAUCCAAGAGGGCCCACUCUUUCUCUGAGAAAUCCACAGAAACAUCUUCAAAAGUCACCUGAAGAGAAAAAAAGUUAUCUGCAAAUAGAAAAUGCCAAGUAGGUCAGAAAAAACAGGCCAUUUGUGAUUUACGUCUUAGAAUCAUAGAAAACACCUUGGAUCGAAGGAAUGUAGAAGAAAGAGGUUCAUUUAGACACAGGGCAAUAUUCAAGGGACAAAGAGACCCGGCUUCCCCUCCCCUCUCCUCCUGGGAUCCUGCUGCCUACCUGAUCUGUUCCCAUAGAAUCUCUUCUUAGGAAAGAAUCAUGAAAAGUUGUGCUACUAUCACUUGGCCACGUUUCACUGCCUGUGAAAGAGAGGAAAGACAUUGGGGAGGGUGAGACCGGUCCCUUUUCCAGGCUGCCCCACAGUUCCUUCCCUCGGAAGCCUGCCACUCUCCACUUGGCCCGUGACGCCUUUUUAAACUCCCUCCUUGGUCCCAAGUCUUUAAUGUGGACUAUUCUGUUUUCCAGGGGGGUUGCGAUCUAUUCCCAGGAAACGUAGAUGGUUGACUGUAUUAGUUUCUGUAUUUGUGCCAAUGUAACCAAGAGCACAUUCACCACCAUAAACAUCCAGAGAGAAGCAAAGGAAUCAAGUAACUUUGAAAGUGGCACAAAUAAGUAUUGUAGAGAAAUGUCUCUUGUCAACAGCAUUCUCCAAGAAGGGAGAAAGAAUAUGGUAAUAUUUGUAUGCAUGAAGAUGGGUGCAUGUUGUGUGUGAAUGCUAAGUGAAAAUAUAACUCCCCUUGUCUGUCUGUUAGCCAGUGUAACUGUAGGCUGUGAAUCCAAUGUAGUUGCAUAGAAUCUGUAUGUCUAAUGUCAUUCUUUGUUGUUCUGCAAAAGUUCUGCUAUACCUCUUAGACUGAACUUGCGAUAAAAGAACCUAUGCUUCAAAGUUAUUGAAAUGUUAUUCAUAACAUUUUGGUGUCAGAAGUGGGAUAGUUUGUUCAGUCUGAGCAGGAUAUUUUAACCUUUGUUUUAAAAGUAUUCAUGACACAGACAUUUCAGGUCUACAAGUGAACAAGCAAGAAGGACCACUGGCCAUCCCUUACCAACUGUGAUAGAUUCUCCAAUCUGGCCAACGCACAUGGUGUCUGAAGGAGACUCCUCCACCUGGUUGAUCCCAUCUGUACAAGAGUCCUGUACCUGAACAGGAAGCACAGAUCACAAAGAAAAGGAAAGAUUAGAAAAGGAGGGAGGGCUCUUUCUGCAAUCUGUUUCAGACCGCUUGGGUUAUGGUUGGGACCAAGACUGGUUUUCUUCAUUCUUUCUCCUUGAUUUUGAUGUGGGAAUUCUGCCUUCCUUUGGGCACUGCACUCUGCUUCAGGACUUGAUCUGAAGGGAAAGGGCUACUGCUGAGUUGAAGGAAGUGCUUUACGUAAUCCUGGGGUUGUAAUUUGGGGCUACCCUAGAGGGAUUCUCGGGCUGAGUAACCUAAGUCUGCAUAUCUGUGCUUUCAGGUCCCUGUUAUCUCUGUUGAACUUCAACCCCACACUGCUCAAGUCUGCAGUCCUCAAUGAGGAAUAAUUAGUUAGCUUUAGAAUAGGCUGAGGGAAUUUCUCCCUCCACCCCCCCCCCCUGCCCGACUCCUGAAUGACAAUUGGAAAGUAUAUAUUUGUUCUCUUCUCUAUUUUUCCGCUCUCAUUCUGAUUGGUUCUGUAGAAUGGAUACUUUACAGGUGCAUGCCUUUAUUACUUCUGCUUUUUUCCAUCUCAGUGAGUGUGUAUUUAGACCUCUCCCAGCUGGUGUGUCAGGAGAGAUGUAGUGCUUGGAGAUUUUUCCCUCUUUUAAACCCUAGAAGAGAUGGAGUUCAGAGUAGCUCAAACCCAGUUCGUUACUAUUAAGAAGUGUAAUGAUUUUUGUAAAUAAAUCUUUUGUAAUUUUAAA